rnacentral:rRNA from 1 species
UACGUAGGCAGCGAGCGUUGUUCGGAGUUACUGGGCGUAAAGAGUGCGUAGGCGGUGCUCCAAGUCUGGUGUGAAAUCCCGGGGCUCAACCCCGGAACUGCAUUGGAUACUGCCUUGCUUGAGUACUGGAGAGGGAACUGGAAUUUACGGUGUAGCAGUGAAAUGCGUAGAGAUCGUAAGGAAGGCCAGUGGCGAAAGCGAGUUCCUGGACAGUGACUGACGCUGAGGCACGAAGGCCAGGGGAGCAAACAGG